rnacentral:lncRNA from 1 species
GACCUCGGGACGACUGGCGGACGGUCGCGGGCCUGGAGACCCAGAGCGAGACGGCCUACUUCGUUCUCGAGCCAGCAGAACGGGUUGAACGUGUCGACAACCCCACCCGCCAGUCAGCGGCGCGGGCGUGUUCGAGCCGGCUCGUGGGCGUGGUCAGAGAUGAGGUUUCACCGUGGUGGCCAGGCUGGUCUCAAACUCCUGACCUCAAAUGAUCUGCCUGCCUCGGCUUCCCAAAGUGCUGGGAUGACACUGAGCCACCGCGCCUGGCAAGGAGGUAACUUGAUCCAUACGUUUGCGUUUACAUGGUGCGAGGAAAGGGCACCCUUGGUAGAUGGAACAGCGUGUACAAAGGCCCGGAGGUUUAAAAUCACCACUCUUCUAGCCCUCAUACUAACUUUGCCUAUUUUGAACUUUAUAUAAAUGGAAUUAUAUUGCAUGUUCUCUUUUGUAUCUGACUUCCUUUUCUCAAUACUAUAUGAGUGGUAUCCAUGCCAUUUAAAGUAAUGGUGGAUUAACUCAAUGCUACGUCGCCUUCUAGUUGAUGGAGGGCAGGCAAGACCCACAGUGGGGCUGAGCCCCUCGAGGGUUCCUGGCUUUGCCCAGGAAACAAUUCAAGGGCAAGCUGGAAGUGAAAGUAAACAGGCCAGGCAUGGUGGGAGUUACUACCCCUUUCCAUGGCAAUGACCCCACGACCCAAAAGUUACUACCCCUUCCCUAGAAACUUUUGCCUGGGCUGCCCCUUAAUCUACAUGAAAUUAAAAGUGGGUGUAAAUGUGGCUGCAGAACUGUCCUGAGCUGCUGCUCUCAGCACACUCUGCCCAGCACACCCCGCCUGCAGGGGCCGUCGCAGAGCUGUAACCCUGCCGCUUCAAGCUGUUUUGUUUUGUUUUUCUUUCGAGACAGUCUCGCUCUGCUCUUCCAGUUUGAAUAUCACGCAGGCUGGAGCGCAGUGGCGCAAUCUCGGCUCACUGCAACCUCUGCCUCCUGGGUUCAAGCAAUUCUGCCUCAGCCACCCGAGUAGCUGGGAUUACAGGCACACGCCACCAUGCCCGGCUAAUUUUUGUAUUGUAUUAGAGACAGGGUUUCACCAUGUUGGCGAGGCUGGUCCCGAACUCCUGGCCUCAAGUGAUCUGCCCGCCGUCCGCCUCAGUGUCCCGAGGUGCUGGGAUUACAGGUGUGAGCCACCGCACCCAGCAAAAGUGCUUUCUCGAGAUGGAAUCUGCGCCUGGUGAAGAUGCUCUAAACAUUGCUGAGAUAACAAAGGAUUUAGAAUAUUCCAUAAACUUCGUUGGUACAGCAGCGAUAGGGUUCGAGAGGAUUUUCCAGUUGUGAGAGAAGGUCUGCUGUGGACAAAAUGCUACCAAACAGCAUCGCGUGCUACGGAGAAAUCUUUUGUGAAAGGAAGAAGCUCAAUGUGGCCAGCUUUAUUGUUGUCUUAUUUUAAGAAAUUGCUGGCCGGGUGUGGUGGAGAAUCACUUGAACCCAGGAGGCAGAGGUUGCAGUGAGCCGAGAUCACGCCAUUGAACUCCAGCUGGGCAUAAGAGCAAAACUCCAUCUCAAAAAAAAAAAAAAAAAGGAAGAAAUUGCCACAGCCACCUCAGCCUUCAGCCACCACCACCCUGAUCAGUCAGCAGCCACAAACAAGACCUUCCACCAGCAAAGAGAUCCCAACUUCCUCAAGCCUCAGGUGAUUGCUGGCACUUUCUAUCAGUAUCUUAGUUUUUUGUUUGUUUGUUUUUUAAUUUUUGAGACAGAGUCUCACUCUCUUGCCCAGGCUGGAAUGUAGUGGCACCAUCUCGGCUCACUGCAACCUCCGCCUCCCAGGUUCAAGCGAUUCUCUUACCUUAGCCUCCGGAGGAGCUGGGACUACAAGCACGCACCACCACACCCGGCUGAUUUUUUUCCAUUUUUAGUAGAGACGGGGUUUCACCAUGUUGGCCAGGCUGGUCUCGAACUCCUGGCCUCAGGUGAUCCGCCCACCUUGGCCUCCCACAGUGCUAGGAUUACAGGUGUGAGCCACCACCCCCAGCCAUUUUUUUUUUGAGACGAGGUCUUGCUUUGUUGCCCAGACUAGAGUGCAGUGACAUUAUCUCGGCUCACGGCAACCUCUGCCUCCCAGGCUGAAGCAAUCCUCCCACCUCUGUCUCCCUAGUAGCUGGGACCACAGGUGCACACCCCCACACCCGGCUAAUUUUUUGUAUUUUUGGUAGAGACAGGGUUUCACCAUGUUGCCCAGGCUGGUCUCCUGAGCUCAUGCAAUCUGCCCACUUGACCUCCCAAAGUGCUGGGAUUACAGGUGUGAGCCACUGUGCCCAGCCUAUUAUUAUUAUUAUUUAUUGUUUUUUUGGUCUUGAGGGAGGGUAGGGUGG